AGAGUUUGAUCAUGGCUCAGAACGAACGCUGGCGGCGUGCUUAACACAUGCAAGUCGGACGAGAAAUCUUUUCUUCGGAAGAGAGAGUAAAGUGGCGCACGGGUGAGUAACGCGUAGAUAAUCUACCCUCAGGUCGGGGAUAACACUGCGAAAGCGGUGCUAAUACCGGAUAAGCUCGAUUUGGUGCGAAUCAGGUCGAGGAAAGGUGGCCUCUGAUCCAAGCUAUCGCCUGAGGAUGAGUCUGCGUAUCAUUAGCUAGUAGGUGGGGUAAGGGCCUACCUAGGCAACGAUGGUUAGCGGGUCUGAGAGGAUGAUCCGCCACACUGGAACUGGAACACGGACCAGACUCCUACGGGAGGCAGCAGUGAGGAAUUUUGCGCAAUGGGGGCAACCCUGACGCAGCGACGCCGCGUGGGUGAAGAAGGCCUUCGGGUUGUAAAGCUCUGUCAGAUGGGAAUAAGUUCAAUCAUGUUAAGAGCAUGGUUGUUUGAAGGUACCAUCAGAGGAAGCACCGGCUAACUCCGUGCCAGCAGCCGCGGUAAUACGGAGGGUGCAAGCGUUGUUCGGAAUCACUGGGCGUAAAGGGCACGCAGGCGGCCGAUCAAGUCAGGUGUGAAAUUCCAGGGCUCAACCCUGGACGUGCAUCUGAAACUGGUUGGCUUGAGUAUGGGAGAGGAAAGUGGAAUUCCCGGUGUAGAGGUGAAAUUCGUAGAUAUCGGGAGGAAUACCUGAGGCGAAGGCGACUUUCUGGACCAAUACUGACGCUGAGGUGCGAAAGCGUGGGUAGCGAACAGGAUUAGAUACCCUGGUAGUCCACAGCUGUAAACGAUGUGCACUAGAUGUUGGGGGAGUUGACCCCUUCAGUGUCGCAGC
rnacentral:rRNA from 1 species